rnacentral:rRNA from 1 species
AGAUUGAACGCUGGCGGCAUGCCUAACACAUGCAAGUCGAACGGCAGCGCGGGUAGCAAUACCUGGCGGCGAGUGGCGGACGGGUGAGGAAUACAUAGGAAUCUACCCUGUCGUGGGGGAUAACGUAGGGAAACUUACGCUAAUACCGCAUACGACCGAGAGGUGAAAGCGGCGGACCGCAAGGCGUCGCGCGGCUGGAUGAGCCUAUGUCCGAUUAGCUAGUUGGCGGGUAAGACGCCC